rnacentral:lncRNA from 1 species
GAAGGGGUGGUGGUUAUUUUAAAACAUUCUAAGAAAAUGUUAUCGUUCUUUUAUUUUUCGAAAAUCUUAGUUCUUGUUUUUUUUUUUUCUGUUCUUCCUUCUUUUAUUUUUCUUCUUUUCUACAAUCGAUUUUAUGUGAAUUGGGAAGUCUUGUUGCCUGUAAGGUCGAUAUUGGGUAAGUUCUGUUGUGAUUUUCUUUCAUUUGCGAUUCUGUUGUGUU